GGUCACCUGAACCCGUCUGCACAUGUGAGUUUUCACGCAGGCCAGGCAGGGGGCUUUAACAUAGCGGUGCCAAAGACAAUAACCUAAGGCACUGCACGCUAAACGGAAGACAGAAA
rfam:Rhodobacteraceae bacterium O3.65 TRIHO_contig000078, whole genome shotgun sequence.